AUCUGCAGGAGAGCGACGCAGAAACAGAUUCCUGUGAGGAAACAUGAACGGAAGAAGAGAUCAGCGGGAAACGCUAAACAUCAGGAGAUUUCUCAUUUAUCUUCUGUCUCUCAUGGAUCAUGUGUGGAUCCUCUCUGGUUUCCUCCCACAGUCCAGAAACAGGAUUCAUUGGUUGGUUGGAGCUUCUGUGACCCCAAAAGGGAUGAAGCCGGAUUGGAAGAUGGAUGGAAGUUAAAGAAAGGAAUUUGACAUAAAUAUUAACCUCAAAUCUG